UAGUACCUUGCUUUUCAGUCCUUUGUAUG
rnacentral:piRNA from 1 species